AUUGAACGCUGGCGGCAUGCCUAACACAUGCAAGUCGAACGGCAGCACGGGAGCUUGCUCCUGGUGGCGAGUGGCGGACGGGUGAGUAAUGCAUAGGAAUCUGCCCAGUAGCGGGGGACAACUUGGGGAAACUCAAGCUAAUACCGCAUGCGCCCUACGGGGGAAAGCGGGGGACCUUCGGGCCUCGCACUAUUGGAUGAGCCUAUGUCAGAUUAGCUUGUUGGUGGGGUAACGGCCUACCAAGGCGACGAUCUGUAGCUGGUCUGAGAGGACGAUCAGCCACACUGGGACUGAGACACGGCCCAGACUCCUACGGGAGGCAGCAGUGGGGAAUAUUGCACAAUGGGCGAAAGCCUGAUGCAGCAAUGCCGCGUGUGUGAAGAAGGCCUCGGUUGUAAG
rnacentral:rRNA from 1 species